CCUCCAUAGAGGUGGGUGCUGGCAUGAGGAUGCUUAGGUGCAGGGCAUUUGGCAGCACGGACAGGAGAGGACCAGAGGCCCAAAUCCACAGGCAAAGUUAAUUGCUGUAAUUUACCUCCAGUUGAUAAUUCUUUGCUGAUUGACACCCAUGAACAUGCUGCCAGGUGCCUUUAGGCAGAAGGCUCCUCGCUGUGUCCCACAUCCCCUAUAGGCAGAGCUGAGCCCCGUGUCUGAGAGCAGUGGGCAUCCACCAGCAAAAGCCAAAUGUUUUGGGGGCUGUUGGUGUGCCAGAAGAGCUGUGGGUCUCAGCUUCUCCGAGGGUGUGCUCACAUUGCCGCCAAGCCAGAGCAUGGCCGCUGUUCAUUACCCUGCUCCCAGAUGAACAGUAAGUCUCUGGAACAGUACUUACAGCCUGUAAUAAUAUUACUGCUCGGCCUGCUACAUGGUCCCUCCGUCAUUUUUUCAAUUAAAAAAGGACCGAUGCUCUAUUAACCUUUUGGCUGCUACUCCAUUCUUCAUACAGCCGCCGGACUGAGAUUGCAAGCCAUGUAUUAAAAAAGGCAUAUAUUACUGUAAACCGUCUCCAAGUUUUCUGUCAUUGGAAAGAUGAAGUAUCAUUUUUUUCAUUGAAAAAUAUGAGACAGUUUAUCAAAUGGCUGACCUCUGAACCGGCGGCGAAUCCCUUUGUUACCUCGAAGCGCACGGCAACGUGCACAGCACACCGCUGCCACUCUGCCCCAGUGCCAGCCCCGCCGGGCUGUGACGCACGCGGGUUUUCAUGGCUCUUCCCCUUGAUUUGUUCCAUUUCUCUUUUCUCAAGGCAUUGGCUGCUGGUUGUAUGCAAACGUGUGUGCCACCAGCCCCACCAGGACCUCGGGGGAUGUCAGGUUGGCCAGGCACCUUCCUUCUUUCCAGUCAUAACCAGGGGCUUCUUGCACUGCACGGACCACGGCGGCCCUGCAUGGAAGAGGUAGCACCGGUCUUCAGUCUAGAGAGCAGGCGAGCUGUCUGCUGCAACAUUUUGCUCCAGUUCAUGCCCAUUGCUGGCAGCUCCUGCCCACUGCACUGCAGCCCUGCCAUGAAGGAAACAGAAAUGAUGGACAAAUACUCAUGCAGUGUAGCUUUGGGUCUGGGCAGCCCCUACGUUUGUGUGAGAACAUACAAAAUGACUCUGAGAAAAUGAGAGUAAAAGCAGUCAAUCUUAUGCCCCGUAAAUUGGGAGAUAACUCAAUAUGAAUAUUGCUAUUGAACUUUCAUCCUGCCGUG
rnacentral:lncRNA from 1 species